GACUCAGACAGGCAGUGCUCAUCGCGGACAGGGCCUCCGACAUUUGACUGGCCUUGUAACUGAAAGCCUAACAGCCUCGAGGGGAAUUGCUUAUUGAGAUGUGAGCCAUGGAUUACUUCAUGUUUUGUAUAGUACAGUCACAGUUUUAAAAAACAAUCUAGAAUUCCCUGCAACUGGCAAUUUCAUUGCUGUAUGGCCUGAAAUGCCUCCAUGCCCAGGAAUGCUGAAGUUAUCUGAGCGGGUACUUGGCCUCAUUUUAUAUGAAGGAAAUUUAAAUGCAGAAAGACUAAGAGAUUCAUCUAUGUUUCCAUAGACGGAGUAUGCUGCAGUUGAGAUGUGAAUUCAGGACACGUGAAUGUCCACAGUUUUGCACUCUCCUAUUGAUCUGCUUUUACGGGAUUUCAUCUUGGUUGCUAUGCUACCUCUCACAGAAGCAUCUGCAUUUAUUCGCUUCCAUUCUAGUCAACAAAAACUUAUGGAGAAUUGACUUUGUACCAGGGAUCUUUUAGGUGAGGAAACUGAAAGAGGAAAAAGACAUAGUCUCUGCACUAAAAGAGCUCCCAGUCUAUAGAGGGGACAGACACACCUACCUACUGGACAACAGACCCUCAUGUAGUAAACUAGAGAACUAUUCUAAAACUUCCAAAUGGUAGAAUGAAAGGCUUUAUACCAGUUAAAGGAGUUUAGACAUCAGCUGGCAGCUGGGGAGUGGUCUGGUGAUAUGACAGUGGACACUUGGGCUGCCUGAGAGGAGCAUGCGUUGGUCACAUAAGGUUGCCUGGGCAGAGAUCAGAAGAGAUGGACCUGGUGUCUCUCUCCCAGUUUCCUGUAUUCCCCAGGCAUGACAAGCCCACCCUCUGUGACUGCUGGUGGUCUGGUCCUGGUUUUUGGAAAACAGGUGGUGUUUGGUUCCAUGAGUAAGUUCCUUAGUGGUGAUUUCUGAGAUUUUGGUGCACCCUUCACCCAAGCAGUGUACACUGCACCCAAUUUGUAGUCUUAUCCUCAUCUCUCACCUUAUACAAAAAUCAACUCAAGAUGGAUCAAGCACUUAAAAUCUAAGACCUGAAACUAUAAAAAUUCUAGAAGAUAACAUCAGAAAAACCCUUCUAGACAUUGGCUUAGGCAAAGACUUCAUGACCAAGGACCCAAAAGCAAAUGCAACAAAAACAAAGAUAAAUAGGUGAGACUGAAUUAAACUAAAGAGCUUCUGCACAGCAAAAAAUCCUUGCUUUUUAAUAUGUGCCAGUGUGUAUGGGUGGAGAAAGAGUGGGGUGGCCAUGAAAAUGCACCAUGCAGCUCUUCUGCUGUGGGGGGCAGAGUUGACUGACGACCUCAGCCACUGCCCUGCUGGGUCCACCGCUGUGGCUAUGUCAAAACCUAAGCCAUGCUGCCAGCAAUUUGCUCCCAAUCAACCCCAAGCACAGCAGGGAGUGAGUGCAGGCCCACUCCUGUGAGAAUCAGGGCUCCUCUAAUAGGUGCCUGGGCUCGAGGACAUCCCAGAGGCCUGGCCAAAGCUUUCUUGAAACUGCUCUAGAGUCUGGGACCCUUCCUAUCCAAUCUUCCUUUGUUCCCGUCUCCUCUGCAGGUGUGAGGCUGCAUCUGGGUCUGACGACUCUCGCUGCCCCCUCCCCUUUAUCCUUCACAGGUGUUUCUUGUGCACAUCGAUGCACAUCCUGGCAUCUGCUUCUUGGAGGACCAGAAUUUACACUGUAUUUGAUGAAACUUAAAUUAAUCUAAACUGUGAUAACGACACUUUAUACAUCAUCCUGAGCUAAGAAAUUCGAAGCAAAAAAGUCAUAAAAAUAAGGCUUGGUAGUAACACAAGUAAUAACAAUUACAGGAAUUUAUAGAAACUGCUUACCAUUUAUGCCUAAUUACCAUACAGAGCAACAGCAAUUAUACAGAUUAUUAAAUACAGGUCAAAUUAACAUUGUUGAG
rnacentral:lncRNA from 1 species